GAUUGAUAAUAAUUUUUCUCUUCCCUUGCUCCAUUCAUUCUUCUUCAAUCUUAUCCAUGUACAAAAACCUAGAAAAUAAAAAACCCAAAACCAGCCUUCAUCUUUGUCCAUUGCUGGUCAUGAAUUGAUAAUGAUUCUUCUCUUCUCUUGCUCAGUCUCACCCAUUCACUCCUCUUUCUAUCUCACCCAUGUACAAAAGUCCAGAAAAUAAAUAUUUCAAAGCCACGCUUCAUCUGUUGCCUUCAUCACUAUCCAUUGCCGGCCAUGAAUACAGAACACCAACAUUCAUCCUCUCCCUCUUCUCUUCAUUGAUAUCAUACUCGUUGUAAUCUGAUGGUGGGAGGCAAUUCUGAAAUGGAGAGCUGUAUAGAUGCAAAUUCUAGUGCCGUUUCAUGUUGUGAUGAGUCUGUUCAUGGGACGGUGAGCGUUGGUGAUCCCAUAAAAGACAGUGGAGAACUUGAUGUUGAAUUUCUCAAUGAAUUUGAUUUAUAUGUGGAAGACAUCAAGGAUGGAUUGGUCGUUUCUAGGAUGGUGAAUGACUCGAUCAUCAGGGGCAUGGUCAAUGCUGUUGAGCAAGAGGCAGCUGAUAGGAUUGCUCAGAAAGAGUUGGAAUUAGUGAGGUUGAAGGAAAUGUUAAAAUCUUACCAUGUUGGUUCAGAUGAAAACCAACUCUUGAGACCUUUAACGAAGAACAAUGAUCCGAAUAUUGGAAAAUUAAGUGCAUUUUCAAGGUUGUCGGAUGCUUUAACUGACCAUGACAAGAUACUAGAAUCUUUUGGCAGACUUAAAAGUGCAGCUAAAGGGCAGCUUAAGAAUCUCAGGAUAGAUAUUGGCCAAAUCAGAGGGCAUGGUUCUAUUAAGAAGAUUAAUUCGGUUUCUGAGUUGGUGGGAUUGGGUGGUAUUUUGCAAGAGGACGAAUUGAAGAAACGGAUUGGAGCAGAGAAAACACUUGAUUCCUUAAGUGAAACUCUGGAAUCUGUUUUUGAGCAAGUGGGCAAUAUUGUUUACUCAUCCAAGGUUUCACACUGUCAAUGGCAACAGGAGCAAGAAUAUCAGGAAGAAGUUGAACGUAUGGUAAUAACAAUCUGCAUCCGCGGUUUAGAGGAACAGCUUGAGAAAACACUUUGGGAUCAAAAUGCUCAAUGGUAUGGUAAUGAAGAUGUAUGUUGGUUUGAGAAGAUCAAUGAGAUUUCCUUCUUGCGUCAGGAGUUAGAUGCCAUUUCAAAAUCACUGUCCAAUCCUGAAUCCGGAGUGCUGCAUUCUCAUAGUUCAUUGGAGAUCAAUGGUGACGUGAGUAAUGAUAAAAGGACUGAUCAUUUGCAUCAAAAGGUUCUAGGAAAUCAUGUUUCAUCAUCAGUUUCACUUUGGGAAGGAAAUGGCAAGGACGGAGAGUUGGUAAUUCCUGUGCCAGAAAAUUUGGAUCCUCAACAACUAAUACACAUGAAAAAGGAUGAAUUGGUGAACUUUUUCAAGGUUGAGAUGACAAAAAUGAAGAGGAACCAUGACUAUAAACUACAAGAGAUGACUGAAAAAUAUUUUAGUCUCAAGCGGGAGUACUUGAAAGAGAGGGGUUCUUCUCUUCCAUCUAGGAAAGAUAAGGAGUUUGAUGUCUUGAGGAAAAAGAUCCCAGAUGUCAUACUGAAAUUGGAUAGGAUUCUUGUGGAAAAUGAAAAAGUUCCGUUAUUAAGUAAUAAUAAUGAUAAUCUCAGCAUCUUGAAGGACAGAUUAGAAUCUCUACUUUCAGAAAAUCGUCAACUGAGAGACGCACUCUCUGAUAGAAAAAAGGAAGUUAACCAGCUUUCUUCACAACUUUCUGAUGCCAUAAUGAAUAUCUCAGAGCAGUCUCUUGUUGAGGAAAACUUACUUAGAAGGGUAGAAAGCCUCGAGUCCGUGGUUGAGGAUGCACAUAUUGAAGCUACCAUUAGUUGGGAUGUAUAUAAUUUCUUGUUCAGGGGGGCAAUCAGCCAGGUAAAGUGCAUGGCUGAAGAUUCAGAGAUGGAGCAAAAUAUCAUGAAAGAAAUUUAUGACCUUAUAUUAAAAGAUGCUUCUUGCAAUAUGUCACAUGCCAGAAAGAGUGGAUUUGAAGAUUCUGAUUUGGAAUCUUUAGCUAUGGAAGGGCUAUGUGCAAUCAUAUUCAGAGAAGCCUUCACAGAAGCCAGGGAGAAACUCCAUGACUUAAGUAUGGAUGCGAUUGAGAAGGAAAGGGUGCUAAAGAUGGAAGUUGCAGAGAAGGAAAAUUUGCAGGAACAAGUGCUCCUAGUGACAUCUACAGUUAACGAAAAGGAGAAGUUACUUAAUGAAACAGCGGCUGCAUUGGCAAGAGAAAAGGAGAAAUUGAUGGCAGCUUCUCAAGAGCUUGAUAGUGCAAGGGGUUGGACAAACCAGCAUCGAAUGAUAAUUUCUAAGUGCAAUGAAGAAUCCAGUGUUCUGAAAACUAAUCUCCUUCAAGCAUCAGAGGAACUUGAGCAACACAAAGUGGAGAUAUGUGGAUUGAAAACGAAACUUGACCAAGCCAUGAAGGAGUUGAGAGAAAGUAAUGGUGAGAGAAGCAGGCUUCUUGUUGCUGCCAAAGAGAAUGAUAAUAUUUUAUCAUUAGUUAAAGCAAAUGAAAACGAGCACAGAAAACAGAUGGAAUCAAUAAUUAUUCUUGUGGAAGGACUGUCCAAGGGAGUUGCUGCUUUUGAAAGUCGAGUAGGAGAACAUAUGGAGAGGAGUAGUCUAAGGUUGGAAAGUUUAAGCUCCCAAUCCAGUUCUCUAAUUCAGAUGGUAAAUAAAUUGAAAAGAAAGGGAUUGCAAUAUAAGCAAAGUCUUGAAAGGAGACGCUCUGACCUUGAAAAAGCUGAAACUGAGGUCGAUCUCUUGGGUGAUGAGGUGGAAGUACUUCUAGGCCUUCUCGAGAAAAUAUACAUUGCACUUGAUCAUUAUUCCCCAAUAUUGAAACAUUAUCCUGGAAUUAUGGAGAUACUGAAGCUGGUUAGAAGAGAAUUGAGUGGAGAAUGUAACAAGUCACUUUGAUUUAUCCUUCAUUAGGUAUCUGUGUUUGAUGCAUUAUUUGGAUAUUGGUAUGAGGAUAUGAUCUUCCAAGGAUCCUUCAAAUGAAUGUUGAUUCUUUUUCACCCCCAUUCAGCAUGAGGGUAGAAAUGGUCGCACGGACAAAAUUUUCCACUGCUGAUACAAUCAAGAACAGGUUUAUGUGCAGGUGAACCCGGAAAAAUACACCCUUAUCCCUGUUGAUUAUGUUAUUCUCUCUGUAUAGAAACUUAGAAGAUAGCAUGUAAAAAUCGUGGCGAUGGUAUCAUCGGGACUAGUUUACUUAGAUUUGUAGGUAUUUUGAUGAUACUUUCUUUUGGCAUGAACUCAUGAAUUGUUUCUAGCUUUUAAAAUGAACCACACAGAUUAGCUCUUUGUUUCUAACGAUAGUUAUUUUAAGUUUUACAUGCGUUUUUCUGGCAA